CCCUUAGAUGUUCGGGGCCGCACGCGCGCUACACUGACGGAGGCAGCGAGCAUGUCCUUCGCCGAGAGGUGUGGGGAAUCUUGUGAGUCUCCGUCGUGCUGGGGAUAGAUGGUUGCAAUUGUCGAUCUUGAACGAGGAAUUCCUAGUAAGCGCGAGUCAUCAGCUCGCGCUGAUUACGUCCCUGCCCUUUGUACACACCGCCCGUCGCUACUACCGAUUGGAUGGCUUAGCGAGAAUUUUGGAUCGGAGCCCGGGUGGUCGGCAACGGUCGCCCGGGAGAUCUGAGAAAUCAUUCCAGCUUGGUCAUCUAGAGGAAGUAAAAGUCGUAACA
rnacentral:rRNA from 1 species